rnacentral:tRNA from 1 species
AAGGCUUUAAGUUAAAAAAACUAAUAGCCUUCAAAGCUAUAAAUAUAAGAUAGCCUUUUAAGCCUUA